UAAUAAGUGUUUUAUGGCACUUUUUAAAUCCACAUCCACCUUGUGUGCAAUGUCAGUCGGUUUUCUUUUUCGUCAAGAAAAAAAGGAUCGACCAAACAUCAACUUAUCCUAAUUGAACUUUUGUCUGAAAACUAUUAUGAAUAAACUAAUUCAAAAUA
rnacentral:misc_RNA from 1 species